rnacentral:tRNA from 2 species
GCCCCGGUCGUCUAGCCAGGCCCAGGACUCCGGUCUUUCAAGCCGGCAACACGGGUUCGAAUCCCGUCCGGGGCACCA